rnacentral:rRNA from 1 species
UACGUAGGGUGCGAGCGUUAAUCGGAAUUACUGGGCGUAAAGCGUGCGCAGGCGGUUCGUUAUGUCCGAUGUGGAAGCCCCGAGCUCAACUUGGGAAUGGCAUUGGAAACUGGCGGGCUGUAGUGUGGCAGAGGGGGGUGGAAUUCCACGUGUAGCAGUGAAAUGCGUAGAGAUGUGGAGGAACACCGAUGGCGAAGGCAGCCCCCUGGGCCAACACUGACGCUCAGGCACGAAAGCGUGGGGAGCAAACAGG